rnacentral:rRNA from 1 species
AUCCCCUAUCUUCUGCCAUGCCCCUCGCCGCACCAUGUUUCUUCUCUUGCCUUCCAUCUCCUCCACUGCUCAUCCCCUUCUGCUUCCCUGCAGCAAAAUACGGCCAGGAGGGGCACCAAAAAGCUCGCCGUCGACGCGCCCUGGUCGCUCCAAGCAACCUUGCGGCAACUGCGAAGUGAAUGCCAUGGCUGGCUUCGAGCACUCUUCUCCAUGGCCGUCGCAGCCGGACGCGCUAGUAGCCAUGGCUGGCUUCCGUUUUUCGUUUUCCUGACGAUAUGUUGGAAGCAGUGUUCUCUGGAGUUGGAACCAUCAUCCAUUUUUGCUGGAAUCAGCAGCCAUCGGUGGUGAAGACGACGAGGCAGCUGCCGGGGUAAAGACGAUGGGGUACGGUGCUACUACCAUACAAUUUUUUUGCUGGAACCGGGUGGAGAAAAAGUUGCAUCCGCUAUCGAUCGGUGAUGCAAUGAGACGGCGUCGAGAUGUGUUUUGCUGGAACCAGCAAAAAAUUUGCUGGAACCCAUAAGAAUUUUGCUGGGAUGAUAGAUGAAAAUUUUGAAGCGGCCGGCGCAACUUUAGGUUUUUUUGUUGGAUUCGAUGUUUUUUUUGCUGCAACCAGCAUGUGAUUUUGCUACUACUGACAAACUAAUGGAGUUUUGUGUUUUUGCUUCUUUUUUGCUGAGGACACGGUGGUGCGAACCGAACGACGGCGAUGAGCGGAGGCGGUGGUGGGGGCUCAGGGAUGUUGCAACCACGGUGGCAUGCGCUGGAGCCGGUCGGCAGGCGAGCUGCAUUUAUCAAUGAAACAUGGGCGGCUGUCGUCGGCGAGCGGUGGCGGCGAGCACGGCAGCGGCUGUCGACGGCGACAAACGGGGGAGAGGCAGCCGGGCGCUGCGCUGCGCGACGUGGCGAUGACGGGGCGGCCGCCAUGGCCUGCGGUGUUUCUUGAGAUCUGAAACGUGAACAGAGAUGAGAAGGAAGGAGACGACCUAAAUGAACGAGCAUCCAACGGCUCGGGAUGGGCCAAUCGGGUGGCUGGGGCGCGACCGGUCGAAACUUUCGACCGGCGCGCCGGCGCCUAUCAGUCGCCUUAUAUUUAGGAACGGAUAGUGGAAUCGCUACAAGGACUUAUAUUUAGGAACGGAGGAAGUACUAUGCUUAG